ensembl:misc_RNA Metazoa_SRP Metazoan signal recognition particle RNA
GCCAGGCAUGGUGGUGCAUGCCUGUAGUCCCAGCUACUUGGGGGGCUGAGGUGAGAGGAUCACUUGAGCCCAGGAAGUCAAGGCUGCAGUGAGCCAAGAUGGCACCACUGCACUCCAGCCUGAGCAACCAAGUGAGACCCUGUCUCAA